UGCCCAGACUCCUACGGGAGGCAGCAGUGGGGAAUCUUGCGCAAUGGGCGGAAGCCUGACGCAGCGACGCCGCGUGCGGGACGAAGGCCUUCGGGUCGUAAACCGCUUUCAGCAGGGACGAGGCCCUCACGGUGACGGUACCUGCAGAAGAAGCCCCGGCUAACUACGUGCCAGCAGCCGCGGUCAUACGUAGGAUCCGAGCAUUAUCCGGAGUGACUGGGUGUAAAGAGUUGCGUAGGUGGCAUAGUAAGUAGCUAGUGAAAUCUGGUGGCUCAACCAUUCAGACUAUUAGCUAAACUGCUAAGCUCGAGACCGUUAGGGGUAACUGGAAUUUCUAGUGUAGGAGUGAAAUCCGUAGAUAUUAGAAGGAACACCGAUAGCGUAGGCAGGUUACUGGGACGGUUCUGACACUAAGGCACGAAAGCGUAGGGAGCAAACGGGAUUAGAUACCCUAGUACCA
rnacentral:rRNA from 1 species